UAUGCAUUCAGGUGUCUAUGACAUCAAUUCCCUCCUGAGUUGAAAAAUAACUGUAGCACUGAUUGUCUUGGUCCCUGUUCACCCACAUGAGAAGAGGAAUGUGAUCCUGUGAGAGAAAAAAAAUUUAAUGAGGUGAGUCAGCGGGUGUCAGAUAUCUGUGUGCAGGUGGCAGAAUCCAGGACCAAAGUCCUCCCGUAGCUACUAAGGAGUCAAGUCUUGGUUUUGUGAAUUAAAAGUGGAAACCAGUAGGUGUUUGUAAAACUAUGUAUCAAGCUUGGCUAUUCCUGUUUCCCAAAACUGUUUCAGGACAUGAAUAUGCUACAGUCUCCCAGAAAUAGAAGUGAAGGUAACUUAACCCAAAGUUGUGGUUCCUGCGUCCAGCCUGGGUUGGUUGGUGUCAGCAGAAUGGAGGCUGAAGAAUCUCAGUGACUGACAUUGUGGAACCUCCCAAGAGCGCCUCACUGGAGUGGGCAGGAAGGGGUGCUGGCCAGGCACACUAAGAGGUCUCACAGGGCUUCGAUUGAGGCAGUGCCAACGGACAGGACAAACCCUGUUGACUCCAGGGUCUAUGGCUGUAGCAUUAGAUUUCACCGGUGUGGUGAUGAUGGGAACAGCCGUGGCAAGAAGGACAGACAGCCUCAGUGAGGAGGGGCCUCUCAUCCACACUCCCUCCAAUCUUCACCUCCUAUAAUGUGAUCAUACAUUCCAGCAGUUGUGAACACAAGUCUCUUCCAACAUUCGGAUUUCUCUCAGAAUUCUUGCCUUAUCUGAAAAGCAACCUCAUUUGUGUUUAUUGACUGCCUGAUAUGUUCAAGGCCUGCACAGAGGACCUCAGAUACAACCAAGAGGAAAAGGAGCUUUGGCUUUGGGAAAACAACAAGACUCCAACUCAUGCAGGAUUUCCAAGGUCCAGUGACCUGUCUUCUACCUUACGUGUCCAUAGGUAGCUCCAUGUUCAGCAGCUCUGGGAAGUUUUGUUCUCUGAGGAGCACAAGAGCCAGCAGAUUUCCCUCCUGAUUGCAAUGUGCAGAUCUGUCCACUAGGACCGGCUUCAGGCUUUCCUGUAUAGGACUCAAACAACUCAGGAAACAAAAGUGAGAACUGACAAACUGAAAAUUUGAAACUUAAAUCAAACAACUGCUGUACAGCAAAGGAACAGUCAAGAGAGUGGAGAGAUAACCUACGGAAGGGGACAAAGUAUUUGUCAGCUUUUUGCCUGAUGGAGGAUUAACAUCUAGAACAUAUCAAGAAUUUGAGGGCUGGGGAUGUGGCUCAAGUGGUAGUGCGCUCGCCUGGCAUGCUUGCGGCCUGGGUUCCAUCCUCAGCACCACAUACAAACAAAGAUGUUGUGUCCGCCGAAAACUAAAAAAUAAAUAUUAAAAAAAUUCUCUCUCUCUCUCUCUC
rnacentral:lncRNA from 1 species